rnacentral:rRNA from 1 species
UAAACUAGGAUUAGAUACCCUAUUAUUCUAAAUUAAGAUGAAAUAUAUUAAAUAUUAAAUGUAAAACAUUAAAUUUAAAUAAUUUGGCGGUAUUUUAGAAAGUUAGAGGAAUCUGUUAAGUAAAUGAUAUUCCACGAUAGGGGGGUCCUAAUAUAUUUUUAUAUAUUGUUGUAUUAAUAUUAAUUUAGAAGAAUUUAAUAGAGAUUUAUAAUAUUGGAUUAAUUCAAAUCAAAAUGUAGAAUUGUUAGGUUUAAAUGGGUUACAAUUUAUAAAAUAAAUUGGAAUUUAAUUUUUAAUUAAUUAGAUAAAAGAGGAUUUAAUAGUAAAUUUAUAAAAUUUUAUAACUUGAAUUAAAUAUAAAAUAUGUACAAAUUGCGAAUCAUUUUCA